CCUCAGGGCAGUAUGACAGCAGCAUUCUGGAGUCAGCACUCCCAUCCUACACAUGGACCAGCUCCACACUGCCCUCUAAUGUCUCCACUGGGUCUGCCUUUGCCUAUCAAAGCAGCACCAACAACAUGUCAGCAGGAUCUUCUCUCGCAAACAGCACUGUACCAUCCUCACUAUCAGUGUAUGGCUUCCAGAACAAUCUUGCCCCAACCUCUAGUGCCGUUCUCACAUCAAAUGGAAUUAACACAUCAAAUGGAGUUAACUCAUCAAACGGAGUUAACUCAUUUAGUGGAGUUAACACAUUCAACGCAGUUAAUGCUCAUUCAGGUAAUGUCCUGUUGAAAUCUAAUGUAAGCGAAUGAUGUGUAAUGUAAUUAAUGGAACUAGCUCAGCAUUUAGCAUCUUUAACAUCUUAAUUAUGUGUGUCUUUGUGUUGUGCAGGAUAUGGUGUGCAGAAAAACAUCUCUCAGAGUGUAAGCAGCUCUGGAGUUGUUAGUACUGGAGUCUCCACUUCUACAGGCACUGCUACACAGUUGGUCAAAGAUGAUGUACCUCGAAAAUACAUUAUUCUUGAGAAGGAGAAUAUUCCAUCAAAAAAGGACACAGAGGUGCUCAUUCUGUCCAAAGACAGUGGAAAGCACUUCACCAGCAGCAUCCCUAAUGGAAAAGGUGGUAAAUACAUGUCCUUAUUUGAUAGUAAUACAUCACUGUGGCUGUAAAUUCACAGGAUCUAUUGGCUUUUGAAUUAAUAAGUUGUUGUAAUGCUCUGGUCUAAUUGAAUUUUAAUGUAGUCAUGUUCUGACACAUGCUUGACACUGCCAUCUGUACUUUAAAGGGUCCGUUUCAGAUGUUUCACUGAAGAAGGAGACUUUGAAAAUGAGCUACGCUGAGGCUGCUCCUGCCAAAUCUGCCUCAGGCUCCUACUAUGGAUCUUCAGUUGUGCCAACAAAAGAUAAAGCUACGUAUGCAGAGAUCCAUAAUGAUAAGGACUAUGAUAAAGGAGGAGGGGGCUGUUUCGGCUGUGGUCCAAGCUGCUGCUCCUGGUGGAAGUGGCUGCUUGGGCUGCUUCUCAGCCUGCUGCUGCUGCUCGGCCUGCUGUUCGGACUCCUCGCUCUCAGCCAAGCCCUUAAUAAGCAAGCGGAGGAGGUGGGGGUGCUAAAAGCUCGUGUGGAUGCUCUGGAACGCCAGUCUUCUAACAGUCAGGCUCAAACCAGCCAACUGAUUGGCAGCGGUGACAAAAAUAGCCUGCAGUCUGGCAAGGCCAGCGGAGUGGUCAGUUCUGAUAACAGUCUGAAUUUGGGAGCUACUAAUUCUGCCCUUCAGAAGAGAGUACAUAGUUUACUGCAAGAUGAACUGCAGUCUCAGGAAUUCAGAGCCACCCUUGCUUCCUUAGUGAAAGUGGAAAGAGGACCACAAGGGCCCAAAGGUAAGACUCACAACGUAAUUCAUUUUACAUUUUUCUUCAAGCAAUGUUCAAGGAAGCUCUUAACAUUU
ensembl:lncRNA